rnacentral:lncRNA from 1 species
UCUCACUCUGAGUACUGUGUGUUUCAUCUGCCUUCACUCUCACAAUUAUUAUCAACUUGCUGGCUAUAAAAGGCAGGGGCUACAAACUCAGUGAGCCAAAUGCAGUGCUUGCUUCCUAUCUGUGGUCCAUUGCAUAGCAGUGUGCUUGGGUGCUGCGUAAGACAAUUCCCCCCAACGCCUCCAAAAAAUAGGACAUGGUCCACUGCAGGAGUUCAUAAUCUAGGAGUCCAGAGAGUCCAGGCUCAUCAUCCCUUCAGAAGAAAGAAUCUUCAGGCCUCUGCUCUUGUGAGAGUAAUUUCUCUUAACACCGACAGUGCAGCCUACUCCAUGUGCUACUUUCUCUCGCAACUUUGAGCAAGAAUGUUAGAUCUUUUGCUGGGGGCCUUCGGAAGCCGUGAGGGAGCAUAUCCUGACACCCACAUAGAAGACCUGGUACCUAUGUUUCCACAUCACAAAGCAGGCCAACAAGCACACAAGGCCGCAGACCAAAUUAAGAAUCAUCUGGAUGAGUAAGAACAGUUUGAAAGUGCCAGUGACGCUGGUACAGUCCGUCACAUCCCGGUAAACAAAGGUCCUGCUGAGCGGCUCCGAGGAGGGCAGUUUGCACUGGCAAGAGUCGAGUGUGGUCUCACAGGUAAACUGUGUGAGCUGCGAAUAGUGGUGGGCGGCAAAGGCCACGGCCAGCACACAGACCGUCAGGCCCAGGGCACUCAGCAGAAAGUAUAACAGCUGCAAGAAAGCAGAAGAAAACCUUUCUGGUUACAAAGAACAUUGGAUGAUGAUUUGCAAAGCGAAUUCAUCAAAACUGUUCUUUUUCUUCCCUCCCAGAAAUUUUCUGAUGGAAAGGCUGUCUCUUCUUAGAAACACAACACCCAAGACAUGGAAAUAGCUCCAUGUUUAUUUAUUAGUGGGUAGUUCUUAAACCCUGAUCACAUUUUCACUUGCCAUCCAGAUGUUGGGCCCUUUUCAAGAGUUGUGACAACCAUAUUAGCUGGACUGUGGAAUGUUUUUGUCUAGAUAUUGCCAGCAGUUUAGAUGAAUCCCAAACAAGCUAGCCAUCCCUGGAUGACAUGUUGUGCUUAUUUUGAACUCAAGAACUUCUGAUAUUAAGACUGAAACAAGACUAGGAAGUAAAGAACAGGUUUUUGUAAUGCAAACACUGUGUGGGCCAAAAUUAGCAAUGAUGGGUCAACUAAUAGCAUAAGUUAAUUUUUUUAAAAGACUACAUUCAAUGUAGUGAUUGCCAAACUGUAUCCAUAAACAUGAGAAUCCCCAGUAGGAGGUUGCUGGGAGAAAAUAAAUUAUGGCUCCAGAAGUCAAGUGACUCAACGUCAGCUUCAUCGCCUGUGAAACUUACCCCAAGCCCAACAACGACCAUGUGAUUCCUGAGCCUGAAAAAACUCUAAAUGGUUCCUCAGUCACCAAGGUUUUGAACACUGUUGGCCUCCAGAUUAGCUUUGGGAUUGAAAAAGUCUGGUUAAAGUUCUCGCUCUGCUGCUACAGGGCUGUGGGAACUCUGAACAAUUUAGGGAUUUAGCUUACACCUAAAAUAUUCUGAGCAAAACUUGUGGGUGUUCACUGACAUGGCCACAAUAAAAUCUAUGGAACAAGAAAUAUUUUUGUGAUUGAACUCACCUACUAGAAAUGUUAAUCUUAAUGGUCCACCUGCUGAGACUCUAGAGCUGCUUGACAGGGUUGUCUGGGGAAUACAACCUUACCCUGUCAAAUGCCUUUCAAUGUUUUUCUUCUCCUUCCUUACCCCCGUUUCAUCGUGUACCUGCAAUGGGACUCUAUUUCUGAUAUUAGAAAACCACCCAAUGGAACUGAUAAAAAUGAGUUGGAACUUGUGACCAGCAGCUGGAUGAGAGGAGUGUGAAUCCCCCAAAUCUUAUGGAUAUAGUGUGCUUUCUUUGAUGUUCCUGCCAAAGUGAGGCUGGAAAGCUAGGAAGAUCUGUAAGACGUGUGCCAGCACAAAGUGACUACAAUUCAAAAGUUCCAAAAACCUUGCUUGAAACAAUUGCAAAUAGCUCAUCAUUUUAAACCAGUGAACCCAAGGCUGAGUGUUUCAUCAAUUUACAGAAAACCAAGAAGAGAAAUCUGACAGCUAUCCCAGUGUAUGACUUACCAUGGAGAUCUUCAAAUAGAAUCACUUUGGUUUGGGUCUCAUUUUCAUAUUAUAACACAAAUUUGUGUAUGUGGGUUAAGAUUCAUAUUUGAUAGGAACUGCUGGGAAUUCUUGCAGUUAUAUCCUCAAAAGACAAAAUAAGCAUAACCAACAGAAUUGUGAAGCAAUAAAGUUGAUUAUGGAUGAAAACUGGGCUGAACAGUCAUAGGACAUGACUUGUUCCUUUGACCUAAAAUGUGCUUUUCUUUCCUUAUCUACCCAGUGUAAUGGUACUACUCUUUCAACCAUCUUGAAUUCACUCACACUUAUUCGUCAAAUCCUGCUCAGCUAUUCCCACUACCCACAAAGUGUACCUUUUUCGUAUUCCUUACUUUUUAUACAUUAGCUCAUUUUCCCCCAAACAAUGCAAUAAAGUAAAAAAUAUUACUCUAUUUUAUAGAAACUUGCAGCUCAGAAAGGAUAAGAAACUUGCAAGUUGAUCCAAAAUAAAUUUCUAAAAAGCAUCAAAAGGUUUCAUUUCUGCAUAAUAUUAAGGACUAAAUUAUAGGAAAACUCUCUCCCUAUAAAACACUGUAAAAUGCUGGAUAAAACGUAGCAUCCCUUAUAAAAUGAAAAAACAAUUAGCCCACUAGCACUGGAAGUCAUCAAGAAAAUUGUUCUGUCUCAACAGAUGCAGGGGGGCAGUUUGAGGUUUUUCUACUACUUUCCUAGUCCUGGAACCUAUUAAGAUGAGAAAGUAACAUGAAAGUGAUCCUGAAAAAAUAAACCAAAACCUGGCUAUUUCAAUAAAUAAAUUGUAAGGGGGAGAGAGACAGAGACAGAGAGAGAGAGACACAGAGAGAGAGAAUAGAAAGGAGAGACAAAGGGUAAAUUUUUGAGUAAAGGAAAUGUUAGAAAUAUAUGAGUCAACUGCAGUGUAUAGAUCUUAUUGAGAUCCUGAUUUUGACAAAUCUAGGAGGAACUAUUAAUGAGUUAAUCAUGGAUAUUUAAACAGUGGUUUGAUUCUAUUAAGAAAUUAACUUGUUAGGUGUAUUAUUAGUAUAUUGAUUAUUUUUUAGUCUUCAUCUUUCGACUUACAUAGCAAAAUAUUUAUAAAUAAAAUGAUAUAAAGUCUGGGAUUUAGUGCAAAAUAAUCCACUGUGUAGUGUGUGUAGUGUGUGGGUGUGGAGGAAAUAUAGGAGCAUACAGAUAAGACAAGAUUGAGCAUGAGUUGAUAGUUAUCAAGGCUCGGUGAUGAGAAUAUAGAGGUUCAUUAUACAAUUGUAUCUACUCUUGUGUAUGCUUGAAAUUUUUCAUAAUAAGUAAGUUAAGGAAACAAAGUGGUUCUAGGCCUGUAACAUCACUGGGACAUAUGGCAAGACAAACCCAUCUGGAAGGGUUGUACUCUCAAAUAGGCUAUAUCAAGUUAUCAUACAUAAAGCCUCUUGGAAGAUGAACUCACAAACCAAAAUUAGCAAACACUUGAAGAAUUAAUUAUUAGUGAAGGCUAGCUCUUACAUGCAUGUACACACACACACACACACACACACACACACACACACACACACACGCUCUAAGAAUCAGAGCUAUAAGAAUUCCAAAUAAUGGAAGUAAUGAGCAGAGCCUAUAAAAAGUACAUUCAAAACAAACACAUGAAGGAAGGAACUGAAAACAUAAAGAACAGGACAGUUUUUAAAGCACCAGGGAUAUGUGAAAAUAACAUCAGUAACAACAUCAGUGAGUUCUAGAAUGAAAAAUUAAAAUUGCUGGCAGUAAAAACUCAAAGGACAAGUAAAAGGCAGAUUAAACCUAAAUGAAGAAGGGAAAAGUGAACCAGAAAAUCUGAGAAAAUAACCCAAGAUACAGCACAGAGAGAUAAAGAGAGAUGAAACAUACUAGACAGGAUAAGAAAUAUGGAGGGAGAAUAAGAAGAUUCUAAAUAUACAUCUGACAGCAAUUCCAGGCAAAGGGAACAAACUUAAUUUUAAAAUUGAGUAUAGAACCCUAAACCCCAAAAUGAGAGAAUCCACAUUUUUCCCAAGCAUUCAAGAACUGUUUAUGAAGAUUGGUCACAAAAUAAGUCUAAUCAAAUAUCAAAUAAUUGAUAUGAAAAACACAUGAACUGAGCACAAAGCAACUAAAGUGAACUCAAUAAUCAAAAGACCAGAUAAAAGACAUUAGAGAAGACUCAAAUAAAUGGUGAGAUCAUCUUUGGUCAUGUAUAGAAAGUACAAAUCCCAGGAAAUUACCAAAAGUAUUUUUCUUGGAACUUGAAAAGCCUAUUCUAAAGUGUAUAUGCAAGAGAAAAUGGCUAAGAUUCACUGAGAAAAUUUUGAAGAAGAAUAAAAUGAAGGAGGGUGGGUUGGGGGUGGGCUGCUUAUCCAUCAUCUUUAUAACAAGAUGCAUUAUAGCAUCAUUUUAAUUUAGACAAUGGUAUUGGCAUAGUGAUAGCCAAAUAAAACAAUAGAACUAAGGAAAAUCACAAAGCAAAUCUAAUAUGGAAACUUGACAGAUGAUAAAUGGGUGUAACAGAUCACUAUGAAAGGGACCGAUUAUUUAUUAAACGGUGCUAAAACAAUUAUCAAUCCAUGUGAGAAAAAAUGUAUGGACCCUUCACAUCAUUGCAAAAAGAAACCACUUAUAAUAAAGAUAUGAAUACCCAAAAGCAAACCUUUAACAUUUUUAGAAAAUGGUAUAGAAAAAUAUUUUUAUGGCCUUGGAGUAGGGAAAAAUUUCUUUAAACUACAUCAAAUCCAUAAAAAAAAGAACUGAUAAAUAUAAAUAUAUGAAGAUUAAAUCUUUUUUCAUAACAAAACACCAUAAAUAAAAGAUAUGAUACCAACCAGAAAAAGAUAUUUGUAGUACCUAAAACCAUAAAGAUUAAGUAACAAAAGUAACAAAUCCUAUAAAUAAAUAAGAAACGAACAACCCAUAGAAAAUAUUUUUUGAAUAAAUAAAUGAUAGAACACAAAAUAAAAUGGCCAAUCAACAUAAAAUAUGUUCAAUUCCAGUAGCAACACCAAAAUGCAAAUUAAAACAAGAUACCAUUGCACACAAAUAAGAUAGGUAAAGAACUCUGAUUUACCACUGGUGGAGGUGAGGUGUAAGUUAGUCCAAUUUGGAUUUGUGGUAGUGACUUGGCAAUAGCUAGUAAUUUGACGAUGUCUAUAUCUUAUGACCCAACAAUUUGACUUCUAGGAAUAUGCCUUAACAAGACUUUAUGUGCACAGGGAGUUAUAGACAAGAAUAUCCACUGUAACACCGUAAAUGCAAAAUAAAAAAUCAUUUUUGAAAACAAAUUUUCUUCAACAAGAGAAUGAAUUAACUGUUAUAUAUCCCCCCCCCCCACCACCACCACUUUCUUUUGAGACAGGGUCUUGCUCUGUUGCCCAGGCUGAAGUGCGGUGGUGCGAUCAUGGCUCACCACUGUCUCAACCUCCCAGGUUCAAAUGAUCCUCCCACCUCAGCCUCCUGAGUAGCUGGAACAACAGGCAUCUGCCACCACACCCAGCUAAUUUCUCUACAAAAAGUAUUUUUUGUAGAGACGGGGUUUUGCCAUGUUGCCCAGGCUUGAACUCCUAGGCUCAAGCAAUCCUCCCGCCUUGGCCUCCCAAAGUGCUGGGAUUACAGGUGUGAGCCACUGUACCUGGCCAAUGUUGUAUAUUCCUAACAGUGAAAUUCAGUAUAGCAAACAUGAAUGAAUGAUAUCUGUGUACUAUUAUAAAUAAAUCUCAAAAACGAUGUUGAGCAGAAAUGAUAUGAUACCAUCUGUAUAAAAAUUAAAAUAUGACAUGUUGGUUAUGGAUAUAUACAAAUUUUCAAAGUAUGAAAACAGGCUUAUGCAUAAAAAAUACCAAAUUCAGGAUAGUACAUAUCUCUGGGGAAGAUGGGAGGGGUAGGGGAAUUUGAUUAAGAAAUGAAACAUGGGAGACUUCAAUACAAUGUAAUGUUUCCUUUCUUAAAAAAUAAUAAAAAAGCAAUUAUUACAAAAUACUAAAAUUUAGCAAAGCUAGGAAUGGAUAAGUGGGCAUUUUUUUCUAUGUUAUUAUGCAUUAUUUUCUAUGUUAUUAUGCAAUUGAAAUGUUUAUAAUUUUAAAAAGCAUAGAAUUGCACAGAAUUACUGACAUUUGUUCAAAUUCACAUAGAAAUGAAAAUUUAAAAAUCAUUACCAAAUAUUUUUUGGAAAAUGAUUCUACAUUAGUAGAGCCAGAAUUCUACCCUUACUCCAAAGCUGGAGUCAUUCCUCAAAUUUCAGACCCCCUCUCCUUUCUUUUUCUGAUCUUACCCUGAGGGUUCAUCAUGUUCUUCUCUGCGCUAGCACGGUACAUUGUUUAAGGCACCACCUUGGCAUUUUGUUUUUAAAACUAAAUUGCAGUUAGUUGUACCUGUGUUUCCUCACCCAGAGACUAAGCUCUUGGGGGCACCAUACCUGGUAUAUGAAAAUACAGAGGGAGAGUGGCUAGGGUGUGGCUUCUACUCCUAACUAACUCUUGUGAUGACUUACCAAAAACUAAUCACCAAGUUCUAUAAAUACUUAUUCUUGCAAAAUAAUCAAUUUCCAAAGAAUGUAAGAGAAUCAAAGAUUGUGUUCCAGCCUUUCUCAUGAAUCAACAGGAGGGGCAGAAUUGUUACAAACAGUAUUUGUGGGAAGAAAUAAACAACCUAUAGUUUAUUUGUUUCACUUGGGGAUUUUCAAGCCCUCAGAAGAGGGAAAGGAAUCUUGCUGAUGUGGAUUGAGCCUACUCCGGUGGUAUAGUCAUGGGCUGGAUUUCAUUACUUAGCCAUAAUUAAGUCAGUUCUCAAAUUAGGUCCCAUUCUAGAAAUGACUGCAGAGAUAAUUCUAUAUUAAACUCCUGGGUUCAUAUAUGUUGAAUAGUACAAUAAAUAUAAACAUAUUAAAUAGCACAGUGCAUAGAAAUUAUACAGUAAAUCAAUAUAAAUUGAAUUAUGUAACAUUGGAAUGGGAUUGUAAAUGAGAGAACCAUCUUGUUCAACCUUUAAAAAUAUUAUCAAGUGGCUUUUCUAAUUGAGAGUACUUUAUGAAAAACAGUAUGAGGGAACAUAAAGUAAUAUAUAUUAUAAUAUUACUUCUCCUUUGAAAGUGUUUUGUCCUUUUCAACAUGAGGAGGUCAGUGUCCCCAAGCAGCCUGCAGCCUCUCCUACAUUUCCCCCUCGCCUCCCAUGGCAACACGGGUUAGCCAGACACUGAGCUUUUUGUGAUGUGUGUGUGAGGACAGAGAGAAGGGGAGCAAAGCUUCAGGGAGGUCUUGAGGUGGAAAAAUUUGUGACGCACACGAUUUGGUGACUGAAGAAGAAUUCUUUCUUGAGGGUUCUAUAACACAAUAGUUACGGUCACCCUAUGUGCAUUUAAAAAUUCCUAGUUGGUCUCAAGCCCUUAAUGCACACCGAAGCCCUUUAAGAGGCUUCUCAAACUACUUGUUCAUGGAAAGAUUAUGAGACAAAGCCAACCUGUGUGGGUUUGGUCCUUCUGUUUCAGAACCUGACUACCAAAGAGCCUGGGAGAAGUACAUAAACUUAUUGAACAUGUAACUCAUAAACUAAAAGAUUCAAACUCUGUACACAGAAUUCUGUAUGCGGUCAUGAAGAAAUCCCUUCUCAUUUAUGAUCAUACAUUUGCCUUAGGGAGUCCGAGUUUGCCCUCUUCACUGCCUUGGGUGCCCCACUAUCUUCCUGAGGUAGGCACAGUCCUCCUGCAAGUUUCUCCCUGAGAGAAGAGCACCUCCAACCUCCAACAGAAUUGAUGAGGACUGAAAUGCUGUUGCCCUUGUCUUAGAAAAUGCCUCCUUCAUAGCUUUCCUGGCAUAGCUAAAUGUGAGAUAGGGCUAAGCCUGUGAGAUCAGGCUAAUGGCCUGAUAUGCAUGCCACACCUGAUACUUUAGAAGGAAGCCAGCCAAGGAAGUGUUUUUUCCCCCACUUAGUAAUAAAGCUAAAAUUCUCUCGCUCGUCAAAGUCUAGUUAACACAUUAGCAGCCCCCUCCCCCUUUUCUGGUCUCCUGUCAUUAUCUUCCAUACAAGAGAGAGGGCUUGAUAAUAACAUAUCUUAAAGGGGUUUUUAAUUGCUCCUUACAGUGAAUGCUGAAUCUAACGCUUUAAAAACAACUGAGUAGAAUGCCACUUAAAAGCGCUUCCUCCAGGUUUCUCACCACCUCUCUCAGUACCACGGCACUCCCAGCCAGGGGAGAGUUGCUCAUUUCUGCAAAGAUUAGAAGCAGGUCCAACAGAACUUCUUCAGCAGAAUCUGAGAAUGCUCAUUUGUGAACAAACUGUCUGCUUUCCAACGUCCCGUCACUUACUGGACUUUUGCCAGCCCCAGGAAACACCAUAAUGAAACACUCACAUUUAUGAAAUUCACAAUUAGGGACCGUGGCUCUAGCAACAUUAGCUCAGAGAGCAUCAACUUUAAAUAUGCUCAAAAAUCAAACUGGAGAGCUUACAGUAUCCCAUCGUGGCCAUCCCUUUUCGUUUUGGAACUGAGAUUGGACCAAUUGUUAUGAAAGGCUGCAUGUUUUAGUCUUCCCUGGUCUUUCCCUCUUGGGUGGCUUGGGUUUGUGCAAUACAGUACUUAGUGAAGGAAAAGCAGAGCCCAGCUCAGGACUUCUUAAGUGAGGGAACAGAAUCCAAUGAGAAGCCCUUAAAUGUGUGUCAAAAUGAAGAUCUACCAAAGAGUGAAGGCACCUACUAAAGGCUAUUACCUCAUAAGGCUCAAAGGGCGGGUGGGGGGUGCCCACAGUAUGCAAUCACCACCCCCCACAGGACAGCAGGCUUGGUCAAUGGCUGAACAUAUAAGCAUUCCCCAAUGGUACCACUCAGCCAGCCACCUUUGCAUCAGAAGCCAAAGUAUCCUUGAGCUACAUCUUGACAUCAGGAUACUCCCUGGAGCAUAAAGAAAUGCAGGAAUUUACAGCGUGGAGGUUCCUAAGCCUUAAAGAGUUAAUGCAGCAAAGGAAAUGCCUAAGUUAACCUUAGAAUUGUAUUCACUAGCUAGAUUUACUUGAUUUUAUUUUUACAGAAAUUUGACAAAAGAAGCAAUCUGUAAAUGCAAUGAAAACAGCUUCCUCCAUAUGUCUCACUACUGGCAUGAGCACGGAGCCGCGCCACCCCAUCGUACCUCCGUGUGUCAGAUUACGGGCUCAGAAUACCCCUCGGAAACACUCAGACUUCUAGCUGUUCCAAGAAAGCCGUAGGGCUUUCAAUAAUAAGCUGUAAAACGAGCUUAAGAGUCACUGAGGUUGCUGUGCAAAUGUAUAACCCUCACCGGAAAUGCUAUGGACUGAAUUGUGUCCCCGUAAGUCAUAUGUUGAAGCUGUAACCUCAAAAGUAACUAUAUUUGGAGAUAGGGCUUUUAGGAGGUAAUUAAGGUUAAAUAAGAUCCUAAGCAUGGGGUCCUAAUCCAACAGGACUGGAGGAUUCAUGAGAAGAGGAAGAGAAAGAGAUCUCUUCUUCUCUUCACAUGCAUGAACUGAGAAAAGACCAUGUGAGCACACAGCAAGAAGGCAGCCGCCUGCAAGCCAGGAAGAGAACCCUCCCUAGCCCCUGACCAUGUUGACACCCUGAUCUUGGACUUCCCGUCUCCAGAACUGUGAGAAAAUGAAUGUUUGCUGUUUAAGUCACCCAGUCUACGGUAUUUUGUUAUAGCAGCCUGAGCCGACUAAGACAGAAAGAAAAAUGUAUUUUAGUUAAUGCCAUAUGUGUAGGUGUACACAUAUGAAUUUUAAAAUUAACCAGGGUGAUGGAGUGAGCUGCUUCACUCAGGCAUCUGACAGUUACUCUUGCCAAGUUUUAUCUCAAUACACAGAGAUCUGAGACUGCAUCCAAAGCAUCUGAAAGAGGGUGUGCCUAUGGAAUAGGUUUUUAUAUAGCUUAUGCUGUAAAGCCUGUUCCUAGCAUCUAUUUUUUUAAAAGAAGUUCACUGUAAGCUUAUGAACUCAUCGUGAUAAACCUAGACUUGAACAUUUACAGCAAAUAAUAACUGGAAGGUUAAACUAUGACAUCAUGAGGUCCCAUCCAGCUCUGGAUUUUGAUGGACAUUUUUUGACCAGUACUUCCUUAGUUUGCCAGGAUGGAAGACCUAAAAAUGAACUGCAUUUUGCAGUGAAUUAUACCUAAUUAAAGUUUAAUGACUAGAUUACAUUCCUGUCUGAUAUGGUUUGAUUCUGUGUCCCCACCCAAAUCUCUCUUGAAUUGUAAUCCCCAUGUGUUGAGGGGGAAACCUGGUGGAAGGUGGUUUGAUCAUGGGGGUGGUUCCCCCUAUGCUCUUCUCAUGAGAAGAUGAGAUAGUGAGUUCUCAUGAGAUCUGAUGGCUUAUAAGUGGCAGUUUCCCCAGUGCUCUCUCUCCUGCAGCCCUGUAAGAUAUGAUUUGCUUCUCCUUUGCCUUCUGCCAUGAUUGUAAGUUUCCUGAGGCCUCCUCAGCCAUGUGGAAUUGUCAGUCAAUUAAACCUCCUUUCUUUAUAAAUUAGUCUCACGUAGUAUCUUUAUAGCAGCGUGAGAACAGACUAAUACACUAUCCUACAGUAACAUAGAAACAUAUAUGCUGAACUCUUCAACAUAACCUUAUGUGUUUCCUUUUAAUGUUAUCAUUAACCCUUCAGGCCACAAUACAACCAAGUGGAUCCAGUGAAAGACCAUCCUUAAUAGAAAUGUCUCAGAUACAGCUAAAGGCAAGAGCAAAUCUAGAAAACACCCAUUUUCUCAGACCACACUGAAAGAGGGCAUCAUAUUGGCAAUCUAUCUAUUCAACUGUUAGACCAAACAUUAGAGAAACCUAUGCCAUUGUUUUCUUCGUAAAAGGUUAAGAGUGGUAAUAUCAACAUCUAGCAUUCAGCCACAUCAAUCCUAAUAUGUCCUAUUCUAGUUAGGAGAGUGCAUAUAAGUCAAAUGACCUUCCUGAGUCCUGCCAUUUUAUAACAUGAAAUAAAAAAUCUAAGUAAUGUUAAGUUAAUAUGUUCUGAAUUCUUCUAGAAUCCAGAAGCCAAAAUGGAGUAAUAACACAUUCCUUACUAUUACCUCAUAGUUGUCUUAAAUGUCAUAAAUAAAUUUGUCUGUGUUUGAAUAUACAACUACAGUCAGCCCUCUGUAUCAAUGGGUUCCAUAUCCAUGAAUAUAAUCAACCACGGAUCAAAAACAUUUGGAUAAAAAAAGGAUGGUUGUGUCUGUACUGAACAUGUACAGACCUUUUCAUGUCAUUAUUCCCUCAAUAAUAUAGUGUGUCAACUGUUUACAUAGUAUUUAUAUUGUAUUAGGUAUUAUAAGUAAUCUAGAAAUGAUUUAAAGCAUAUGUAGGAUGUGCAUAAAUUAUAUGCAAAUACUACACCAUUUUAUAGCAGGGACUUGAGUAUCUGUGAAUUUUGGUAUCAGGAGUCCCAGUACCAAUCCCCUGCAGAUACUAAGGGAUGACUGAAUAUAGCUUAAAAAUGGGCAUAUGCAUGUUCAAACAGAAGCUCUGAUAAUGGCAAGUAUGGAAUAAAUAGAUUUCAGUUCAACAUUUAUUAAUUA